ensembl:snoRNA
GGACAGUGACGAAAACAGCCAGAUCUGAAAAUCAGAAGAUCUUGUAGUCGACCUAAUAUGUGCAUGAUCUCUCUAGUUCUGAGA